rnacentral:lncRNA from 1 species
GUAACCUGGGAAUAGGUAAUUGGAAUAGGCAGAUGAUGUCUAAAAACCUUGAACAUGGGGAUAAUAAAAAAGUCUGAAGAGUUAGGUAAAUUUAACUGUUUCAGAAAUACCACUUGCUACCUCUGCAUUUCAGUGUAAUUUUGUUUCAUACAAGGAUUGUUACUUGUAAUAUUAACUGAUUCGACCAUAUCUGUAUAGUUUGUUUUAUGACUUUAUAUUUGUCAUGAAAUAACAGUCACUUGACUAUAUGAUAGAGAAGAUACUUGGCUUUUUGUCGUUGUUAUUAGCUUGAGUUGUUUUUUUACCCUAGCUAUUGAUUAUUAGAUGGUGUUGAUUGCUUGCUUGCUUUUGAAUAGAAAGUUUUCUCCAGUUUUAAAACAACAACACAUGGGAUAAGUAGGGCUAGGAUUUGUUUAUAACCGUAUUCUGCUUUACAGACAAGUUUUUCUAAACUGUAGUUGUAAAAAUAUUUCAUAUCAUGAUGAAAUAGAAUUAAAAGCCAGAUUUUAAAGGAAAAGCUUAGUAACGUGUUGUUUCUAAAGUAUAGUGGUGGUGUUGGUGAUUGUUAUCAAUAUUUGUGCAUGUGUAUGAGUGUUCAUUUUUUAACUGCAUCAUUUUAGUCAAUCAGUCAUCAAAACUGUACAGAGACUGAUAUGCUAUCCUCCUUUCUUGCUUAGGAUUCAAAACAGCAAUAGAGAACAUUUCUGCUUUCUUUUCUACUUUUCCUCCGAAAA